rnacentral:rRNA from 1 species
UACGAAGGGGGCUAGCGUUGUUCGGAAUCACUGGGCGUAAAGCGCACGUAGGCGGCUCGUUAAGUCAGAGGUGAAAGCCUGGAGCUCAACUCCAGAACUGCCUUUGAUACUGGCGGGCUCGAGUAUGGCAGAGGUUGGUGGAACUCCGAGUGUAGAGGUGAAAGUCGUAGAUAUUCGGAAGAACACCAGUGGCGAAGGCGGCCAACUGGGCCAUUACUGACGCUGAGGUGCGAAAGCGUGGGGAGCAAACAGG